CUCUAUCACUAGACUUCACAACUAUCAUGCCCUUCCUUUGUCUUCUCUCUCCCGCUCUUAGCCUAGGGCCUUAUUUGCUAUCAUUCUGCCACUUUUCCCAACGCCUCAGAUGAUGAGUUGCCAUCAAGAUUACUGUGUAUGGUAAAGAUGAAAUCUACUCCAUCUGAUAUUUUUUUUACAGUGGCAAUAAAUUAUAAUGGGCUUUUUUGGACUAACAGCAAUU
rnacentral:lncRNA from 1 species